GACGAACGCUGGCGGCGUGCUUAACACAUGCAAGUCGAGCGGUAAGGCCCUUUCGGGGGUACACGAGCGGCGAACGGGUGAGUAACACGUGGGUGACCUGCCUCUAGCUCUGGGAUAAGCCCGGGAAACUGGGUCUAAUACUGGAUAUGACUCCACGACGCAUGUUGUGGGGUGGAAAGCCUUGUGCGGCUAGAGAUGGGCCCGCGGCCUAUCAGCUUGUUGGUGGGGUGAUGGCCUACCAAGGCGACGACGGGUAGCCGGCCUGAGAGGGCGACCGGCCACACUGGGACUGAGACACGGCCCAGACUCCUACGGGAGGCAGCAGUGGGGAAUCUUGCGCAAUGGGCGAAAAGCCUGACGCAAGCGACGCCGCGUGAGGGAUGACGGCCUGGU
rnacentral:rRNA from 1 species